CAAAAGUAAAGAAAUCUUGGACCGGUAAGAUCAACACACCAUUUUUAGAAUUUCUUUGAAAAUCAGUUUCGGAAGGUUUUAAUUAAUGUUUGUGAAACUCUGAGAUUUAUCUGUGGAUCUCAUUCUAUUUAUUUGUCAAUAUGUUUUAUUUUUGUUAAUCUCAUCAAAAUCAUUUAUUUGUGGAUCAUAAUCUGUUUAUUUGGAAUAACGCAACAAUUCUAUCUCCAUAAAUAAUGACCAGUCGUACACUCUGGGAAACACCUUCUAUUCCCCAAUGCAGAGCUCAGCUCUGAUACUUUCAGUUUCGCUAAACGUGUAGUGUGUGCGAAGUUUGGACGCCGAGAACAAAAGAGCCAUUCAGAACUUCACCAAUGUCGAAUCUUUUAAUGCUGCUGUCAUUUUGCUUCGUCUAUCAUAGCGGUCAGUGUAAUUUGUUUAUAAAAUGUAAAUCGUUCUGAUUUUCAGUUCGAGCUAGAAUUCUAGUUCUAAUCGAUUGUUUUUCUGUUGCACCACUAAAGUCAUGUUCUUUUGCUGACAUUUGUGAAUAGAUGGAAAUUCCCCAGUAUAUUAUAUCAUCAUUACACAUCAUGACAUCACUGACACAUCUUUGCAGUUCAUUCCAGUUCAUUUAUUAUUAAGCAUUGUUUGGUCAGGGAUGAAUGAGGCUUGUUUGUUUGCUCUGAAAGACCGAUAAGACCCUCAUAAGAUGAACAGUUCUGAACUCUGAUGAAAGUGAAAAUAUACUCUCAUGCUGUAUAAUUUAAUUUUCAUGAGCAAGCUCAUGGCUUGAACCAACAACCUUAAUCUUUACAUUUACUUCUGAUGCUAAAUAUUGGAGAAACUCCACCAUCAGUUCACAAUUGUUGAAUUGCGUGGUGAAUUGUGUUUUUUUUUUAUUUUUUAGAAUUCAUACAUUUGUUUUGAAUGAAUCUGUAUUUUAGGAGCCUCCACUGUGAAAUUCAAAAAUGGAGACAAUGCCACACUGACAUGUAAAUAUGAGGCCAAAGACAUUUCAGAUAUUCGCUUCAUUCGACAAGGAAAACCAGUACACUUUGCUGACAUCCCCAUUUGUGAAGAAUAUACAAAAGGAAGUGGCCGAGUAUGUAAAAAAGAAGCAUGUGACAUCAUCAUCAAGGAUCUGAUCUUCAGUGACGCUGGGAAUUACAUUUUUAGAUUCAAUUACAAAAAUGCUCUGACGGAUCUGACGUACCAACUUCAUAUUUAUGAUGAGAUUUGUGUGAACAUCGGUGAGCAGCUGAAGUUAGAUGUUCUGUUGUCAGAAGCUGAUAAAGUGCAGCAUCAGAGCAGCGGAAGCAAAAAGUGGAAGGAGGUUUGGAAGAGAGGCCAUGGUGUUCAAAAUGAUCAGCUGAAUGAUAGAGAUGGAAACUUGAUCAUCAAUAACUUUACAGCCAGUGAUUCAGGAACAUACAAAGUUUUGGGCUCUGAAGGAGAAACCUUGAUCACAGUGACUGUUGAAGGAUCUCGUUCAGGUGGUAAACUCAAGAGUGAUGCUGAACAACACAAGCACUGGAUUGGACCGGCUGGGCUGCCUGGGUUCGUUUGGGUGGUUCUUUGCCUUUUUUAAAAGAAGAAAGAUACACCGAUGUCUGGAUGGAGGUCUGAGAAGGUUCUACAUUUGAUGAAGAACCAUCUUCAUGAAUAUUAAAAAUUAUGUUCUAGAAUAUUAAUGCAAUCCAGAUGUGCUACAUCUGCCAUAUUGUCAUGUGACUUAUUUCCGAAAGUAGUAGGACAUCCAGGUACUUUCUGACAGCUGUUUUAUAAGUAUUACAAGGUUUUAUUGCCAUCUGAAUCCAUAAUGUCAGUGUGUUUCUCCCACCACCCGCAUAUUUCCCUGACUGAAUUACCUACUGUUUUUUUUUUUUUUUGAACAAACAAAAAGGUGAUGUGGUAAUUUCACUGCUGCCAAAUCCACAUCCGAGUUUACAAGAUGGGAUCAAUUUUAAAUUCACUGUUUAAAUUCUUUUUGGCAGCUCCAUAUGAUAACUGUUGUGCUUUACUGUAAUUUGCAUUAAAGAUCUACACUUUUAUUACUGAAAGAUAUAUAGCAUAUUAUUGCACCAAAGGACAUGUAAUGCAAUUUUUAAUGUUUGUUUGUAUGUAUGUAUGUAUGUAUGUAUGUAUGUAUGUAUGUAUUUAUUUAUUUAUGUAUGUCUUUUAAUGUCACUUUAAGUCCCUCAGUUGUCCACCAGAGGUCUCACUCCACAGAGUAUUGACUAUUGGACUAUAGUUCCCAGGAAGCCUCAUACCUGGACUAAUUUCCGCUCACCUGAUCGUUGCACUCAGAUUAUUUAUAAACUGUGUUUUGCUCUCUCUUCGUGAAGUCUUGUUUAUUGUGUAUCUUGCCUGUGUAUCGACACUGUCUGGACUUUUACUUCACAACCCUAGCUGCCUGCCCUAGUCUGUUGUUUGUUGUGGACUGGACUUGUGUUUGUUUGCUGCCUGCCCUGAUCCUCUGCCUGGGUUUGACCACGCUUACUGUUUUGCCUCUGACAAUCCUGGUAUUUCACCCACUGCCUGUUUGUACUUUGAGACUGCUUCCACUAGAUGAACCACACAUGGAUUCCACUCAACCAGAGUCUGUGUUACAAUCAGGCUGAAACGAUUUUGUCUAAAAUAGAACGACUCAUAUGUGGAAUCUAUCAGUCAGGAGCUGCACAAUGUUUGACAGAUUUUACACUGCUAUUGUCAAUUAAGUAAACAAACUGAUUAAAGCUAUUCUUUUUCUGAUGUUUAGAAUUAUACCUUUUAUUAUGUUAAAGAAAAAAAAAUUGUACAGUCUUUACUGUGUGGGCCAAAUGUGUAAUUCUCUAACCUGCUAAAAACAGUAAACAUUUACAAGUUCUCUUAUAUUACAAAAUAAAUAAAAAAUAAAUGAGAGCA
ensembl:lncRNA